ACCAGGAACUUUCAGGAGGCAAUUUUGUCUGCAGGUUCUUUUUCAAGACAUUCUCGAACAAGAUCUCGCCCCUGCAAUGGAUCUGUUCGAUCAAUCUCUUCAUCUUCCUCUUCGUCAUCCUCAGAAUCAACAGGUCCUUCUGGAAGACGUGUCAAAUCUACAUCUCCUACCUCACUCUCCGUAGCCUAUGAAAAGAAAUCUUGAUCACUUACCAUUUCAUGUAAAAAAUAUUAUAAGUCACAGUCUGAAUUAAUCAAAACUACCCAUCCCUACAAAAUAUAAAAGACUUGGGCAACGCUGGAUGCUGCAUCAAGAAUACAAUAAAAUGAUACUUAUUUAUAAAAGGUUCUUUCUGCCCCAAAUUUAGAGGCUCAUCUUUCCACAGUGUGACAACUAGGUGAUAAAUCAGAAUCAGUAAAUGUAAAAUGGUCAGGAGACUCAAACAUCACUAAAUGUAUUAAUAUCUGUUUUCCACCCAACACUUGUAUUUCCUAAAAGUACUAAGUUUACUAAAACAUGAAGUACAGGAAAGAAAAAGUUUACCAACAAUCACC
rnacentral:lncRNA from 1 species